UAGGGAAUCUUCCGCAAUGGGCGAAAGCCUGACGGAGCAACGCCGCGUGAGUGAUGAAGGUCUUCGGAUCGUAAAACUCUGUUAUUAGGGAAGAACAAAUGUGUAAGUAACUAUGCACGUCUUGACGGUACCUAAUCAGAAAGCCACGGCUAACUACGUGCCAGCAGCCGCGGUAAUACGUAGGUGGCAAGCGUUAUCCGGAAUUAUUGGGCGUAAAGCGCGCGUAGGCGGUUUUUUAAGUCUGAUGUGAAAGCCCACGGCUCAACCGUGGAGGGUCAUUGGAAACUGGAAAACUUGAGUGCAGAAGAGGAAAGUGGAAUUCCAUGUGAAGCGGUGAAAUGCGCAGAGAUAUGGAGGAACACCAGUGGCGAAGGCGACUUUCUGGUCUGUAACUGACGCUGAUGUGCGAAAGCGUGGGGAUCAAACAGG
rnacentral:rRNA from 1 species